GCCAGAGCCCACUGUGACCCUGGGGCCGCGCCCUGAGCAGCAGGGCAUGGAACGGCACAAAGAGCGCAGGGGUGCCCAGCCCCAGGAGAGCAGCUCUGCGAGGAGACAGCAGCUCCCAGGACACUGCAGCCUCGCUGCGAGGCAGGCAUGUCCACAGACACGGGGAACGGCCGCAGCCAGCCCAAGCGGAGGCGGCUGCGCCGUGCGAGGAGGCAGAAGCCUUCUCCUCCUCCUGCAGGUGCAGAGCUGUGAGUCAUGGACAGACCCCCGCUGCGCCCCCAGCCCCUCGCCCGGCCAGCUGGACGCUGGGGCAGAGCAGAGAUUGAGGAGCCAUACUGGCUACUGCAGAGACUGGCCGAGGAAUACGCCAGGCAGGACAUAGGGAGGGCUGAGGAGGAGAGGCCGCCCAGGCCCCUGACACGGGAAGCGUGGGAAGAGCACUGGAAGCGUCACCCGUGCGCAGAGCAGGG
rnacentral:lncRNA from 12 species